rnacentral:rRNA from 1 species
AUGGACUUAUGCAAUCAAGGAAGACUAGAUUAUGCACAAUUUCUGCUAGAACAUAUGAUUAGUAAGGGAUAUUCUGUUGGUACCUCAUUUACCGUUUACAUGGAUUCAUCCUUCAGGUCUGGUAAUGUAGAAGAUGCCUUGAAAUGCUGGGAUGAUAUGGUGAAAGUUAGUGUGCAACCUGAUUUUAUCGCCUUCUCUGCAUAUAUCAGUGGCCUUUGCAGAUUAGAUUAUGUAAAUGAGGCUUAUCCGGCAUUUGUGGAGAUGCUAAGAGGAGAUCUUGUUCUAAACAAUAUUACAUAA